GCUGGGCAUGGUGGCACUUGCCUGUAAUCCCAGCUACUUGGGAGGCUGAGGUUGGAGGAUCGCUUGAGCCCAGGAGGUCGAGGCUGCAAUGAGCUGUGAUUGAGCCACUGCACUUCAGCCUGAGUGACAGAGUGAGAUCCUAUCUCAA
rnacentral:SRP_RNA from 1 species